CAUUUUUUUAAAUCUGAUAUGUACUUUAUGGACAUUUCGAAAUUUACUGGGUGGGAGGGGCUGGUCCAACUCAAGGUGGUAUAAAAAAAUGCACUGCCCUUCCCAAAGUAAAACAUAUUUUGACAUGACACUCCCCUAUACUGUAAAAGAAUUUGAACAAAUUGCAAUAUUUUCAUAACCAUCUUUGUAGGCCAAUUUUGAACGUGGGAGCCAAAUGAACGGCUCUUACGGAGCCAAAUAUCCAGUCUAUUCCAGUGUUUCUCAAUCCUGGUCCUGGGGAUCCAAAGUGCACAUUUUUGUUUUUUGCAAGUAAACCAUGUAUUUGAUACCAUUCCAUUUAUUCUGCUCCAGCCAUUACGACAAGCCUGUCCUCAACUAAGGUGCCACCAACCACCUGUGAUCUGGACAUACCCUACGAUUGCAACUCUGUCAUUAAGUAGCCCUGCUUAUGGCUUUACAAAAUAUACACCUACAUUUUACAAUAUCACUGAUUUCCAGUGGAAGAACUCUCUCCAAACUCAAUAUACAAGAUAUACAAAUAAUACAUAAUCUGAAGAAAAGACUAAGAGACAAAAAUGGGUCAUGGACAAGCUGCAGUUUUUAUACCCCCACACAAAACACAGCAUCAAGAGAGGUCCAUCGUCAGAAGAUUAUUAUCCGGGUGACAGCAAUGACGGUGGUGGUGAGGUGCUGUCAGCGGUGGAGGUCCCACUGGACGAUGUAGAUUAUUUUGAUGGUGAGGAGACUGGUAAAACAAAACUCAACACUGCCGUUAGAAUAAGAAAAUAUGUAAGCAGCUGCUGAGGACCAACCCGUAAGGAGGAUGACAGUGCCGUGACAAGAAGCCUUUGAGAAGCAGCCUGUGAGGAGGAUGACAUUUCUCUUUACAUCACCCAUCUGGAGUGCAAACUGAGAAAACUACAAGAUCCAAGAGUUCUUCUGGAGAUUCAGAACCAAAUCAACCAAGCUUGUUUCCAGGCACUGAUCAGCCAGAUGCCUAAGAAGAACCACAAUGGACAAGGGUCCUCUUUCCAGUAAAGGUAACCUUGCCACUGACUUGCAUGUGCCUGCAUUGCACACAGACAAACUGAGCUGAUAGGCUUGUUAAAGCACCUUAAUGCAUUUUACGACAAAAGCAUUGGCAUUUUCUCAAGGCAGUACCUUUUUUAUUUUCUUAAAGAUGUGAUUUCUCAAACAUUUCACAUAUUCCUUGUCCUUCCUUUGUUAGCAGAGGUAUGAUUUUAG
rnacentral:lncRNA from 1 species